GAGGACAUUGCUGGUUUUGGAACCUUUUUGUCUUCUCUGUGUGUGUGUGUGUGUGUGUGUCGCUUAAUUAAUGCUUAUUAUUUGUGUUAUUGCGUUUUAAGCAACAAAAUGGCAACUCGAUUAUUGCGUUGACCUUGUCUGUAUGUGUGUUUGUCAAGCAGAGGCAUUGGCAGCGACGCUGUCGUCGUCAACUUUGAGGGCAACAGCGACUGCGCCGCUGAAUUCGACGCGGCGAAAUCGGUCAUUGAACUUUGAACCAAACAAAAGGCGAGAGAGCUUUUACUGAUUUGUGUGACCAUCAAAUAGAAGAAGAAGCAGAAGUAGACGAAGUAAAGUGAAGCAGCAAUGGCGGCUAUUUGGGUCACGCAUGACGCGCGCGCGUCUGCGACUAGAGCAUGCGUCCAUCCGUCUAAGAAA